GAUGAACGCUAGCUACAGGCUUAACACAUGCAAGUCGAGGGGCAGCAUCAUCAAGGCUUGCUUUGAUGGAUGGCGACCGGCGCACGGGUGAGUAACACGUAUCCAACCUGCCGACAACACUGGGAUAGCCUUUCGAAAGAAAGAUUAAUACCGGAUGGCAUAGUUUUCCCGCAUGGGAUAAUUAUUAAAGAAUUUCGGUUGUCGAUGGGGAUGCGUUCCAUUAGGCAGUUGGCGGGGUAACGGCCCACCAAACCAACGAUGGAUAGGGGUUCUGAGAGGAAGGUCCCCCACAUUGGAACUGAGACACGGUCCAAACUCCUACGGGAGGCAGCAGUGAGGAAUAUUGGUCAAUGGACGAGAGUCUGAACCAGCCAAGUAGCGUGAAGGAUGACUGCCCUAUGGGUUGUAAACUUCUUUUAUACGGGAAUAAAGUUAGCCACGUGUGGCUUUUUGUAUGUACCGUAUGAAUAAGGAUCGGCUAACUCCGUGCCAGCAGCCGCGGUAAUACGGAGGAUCCGAGCGUUAUCCGGAUUUAUUGGGUUUAAAGGGAGCGUAGGCGGGUUGUUAAGUCAGUUGUGAAAGUUUGCGGCUCAACCGUAAAAUUGCAGUUGAUACUGGCGACCUUGAGUGCAACAGAGGUAGGCGGAAUUCGUGGUGUAGCGGUGAAAUGCUUAGAUAUCACGAAGAACUCCGAUUGCGAAGGCAGCUUACUGGAUUGUAACUGACGCUGAUGCUCGAAAGUGUGGGUAUCAAACAGGAUUAGAUACCCUGGUAGUCCACACAGUAAACGAUGAAUACUCGCUGUUGGCGAUAUACAGUCAGCGGCCAAGCGAAAGCAUUAAGUAUUCCACCUGGGGAGUACGCCGGCAACGGUGAAACUCAAAGGAAUUGACGGGGGCCCGCACAAGCGGAGGAACAUGUGGUUUAAUUCGAUGAUACGCGAGGAACCUUACCCGGGCUUAAAUUGCAACUGACUGAACCGGAAACGGUUCUUUCUUCGGACAGUUGUGAAGGUGCUGCAUGGUUGUCGUCAGCUCGUGCCGUGAGGUGUCGGCUUAAGUGCCAUAACGAGCGCAACCCUUAUCGAUAGUUACUAGCAGGUCAUGCUGAGGACUCUAUUGAGACUGCCGUCGUAAGAUGUGAGGAAGGUGGGGAUGACGUCAAAUCAGCACGGCCCUUACGUGGGGGGCUACACACGUGUUACAAUGGGGGGUACAGAAGGCAGCUACACGGCGACGUGGUGCUAAUCCCGAAAGCCUCUCUCAGUUCGGAUUGGAGUCUGCAACCCGACUCCAUGAAGCUGGAUUCGCUAGUAAUCGCGCAUCAGCCACGGCGCGGUGAAUACGUUCCCGGGCCUUGCAC
rnacentral:rRNA from 1 species